rnacentral:rRNA from 1 species
CUGUCGAAUUUCAGGACACAUGCGAGCACCUACCACGGAGGAUCCUAAUUGGCUUUCAACAAGGUCCUUAACAAUCCGCUUACUUCUCCUGAUCUGUUUCUGUGCCUACUAUGCUCCCCACGGUCCUCGUCCGCCAGUGCUGGCAAUCAGCGCGUAGGAUCCCUUCCUUUUAGACCUAUACUCUUCUCACAACGCGAACCUCCCCUCCCAACCUCCUACCCGCGGAGCCACGAAUAUGACAUUCGUCUGGUUUGCUGAUUCAUCCCGCGUCUGCAGUAACUACCCCAUCUCCACAGCUGGCGGCCAUUCGUCUUGAACUCCCCCAGGAGCAAUUCCACGAUUUACUCACGACUGGCCCUCGCGAAAGCAUUUACCAAGGAUGUUUACAGUAAUCUACAACGAAAUUAGGGAGAUCGCCCACAAUCUCAUACCCUCAUAGACACUGCCAAAAACUAUGCAGACCGUGUAUACGUAUACUAUCUUGUAUGACUCCCCGGGUCCGUGGGAGAGAUAGAUAUGCUUCAUGUAUGGUGUGACAAGCUCGCCGCUCAUAUAGAUUUUAUGACGAAACGUGCCUACUAGAUUUUAACUCCAACGUAUCAUUCUCAACACUUUAAGUUAACGAUGGCGCGUCCUGUGCGGUUCACGGAUGAGAGCCGAUCUAAAUUCGUUCAUUUAGUUCCUGUUCUUUCUUAUAGCCGGACGAUUUGCAUGGUAAUUCAAGAAUUACGAUACUUAAUCUGAGAUUCCUUGAUAACUUAUUAUAGCGUACUUGAGAUCUAAGAAGCAUGUUUAUUCUAUUUUACAUAAUAA